rnacentral:rRNA from 1 species
UCCGUAGCCGACCGGAGCGGGGGAUCGGGCACACUGGGACUGAGACACCGGCCAGACUGCUACGGGAGGCAGGAGUCGGGGAUCUCCGGCAAUCGACGAAAGUCUGGACGAAAGUCUGGAACAAGUGCAAGAGUAACUGCUGGUGCACCUUGACGGUACCUAACCAGAAAGGGCCACGGCUAACUACGUGCCAGCAGCCGCGGUAAUACGUAGGUGGCAAGCGUUGUCCGGAAUUAUUGGGCGUAAAGGGCUCGCAGGCGGUUUCUUAAGUCUGAUGUGAAAGCCCCCGGCUCAACCGGGGAGGGUCAUUGGAAACUGGGAAACUUGAGUGCAGAAGAGGAGAGUGGAAUUCCACGUGUAGCGGUGAAAUGCGUAGAGAUGUGGAGGAACACCAGUGGCGAAGGCGACUCUCUGGUCUGUAACUGACGCUGAGGAGCGAAAGCGUGGGGAGCGAACAGGAUUAGAUACCCUGGUAGUCCACGCCGUAAACGAUGAGUGCUAAGUGUUAGGGGGUUUCCGCCCCUUAGUGCUGCAGCUAACGCAUUAAGCACUCCGCCUGGGGAGUACGGUCGCAAGACUGAAACUCAAAGGAAUUGACGGGGGCCCGCACAAGCGGUGGAGCAUGUGGUUUAAUUCGAAGCAACGCGAAGAACCUUACCAGGUCUUGACAUCCUCUGACAACCCUAGAGAUAGGGCUUUCCCUUCGGGGACAGAGUGACAGGUGGUGCAUGGUUGUCGUCAGCUCGUGUCGUGAGAUGUUGGGUUAAGUCCCGCAACGAGCGCAACCCUUGAUCUUAGUUGCCAGCAUUCAGUUGGGCACUCUAAGGUGACUGCCGGUGACAAACCGGAGGAAGGUGGGGAUGACGUCAAAUCAUCAUGCCCCUUAUGACCUGGGCUACACACGUGCUACAAUGGACAGAACAAAGGGCUGCGAGACCGCAAGGUUUAGCCAAUCCCACAAAUCUGUUCUCAGUUCGGAUCGCAGUCUGCAACUCGACUGCGUGAAGCUGGAAUCGCUAGUAAUCGCGGAUCAGCAUGCCGCGGUGAAUACGUUCCCGGGCCUUGUACACACCGCCCGUCACACCACGAGAGUUUGCAACACCCGAAGUCGGUGAGGUAACCUUUAUGGAGCCAGCCGCGGGGAUGGGGGGAAUCGAGUGGGAUCGCGGAUCG